rnacentral:tRNA from 3 species
AAUUAAUGAACUUGAAUAAGUAUAUGUUUUGAAAACAUAUUAAAGAAGAAUAAUCUUCUAUUAAUUU